rnacentral:lncRNA from 12 species
AGGAAACUGUAUUAUUAUUAUUUUUAAUCCCCAGGUGACUUGGAUGCACAGUCAGGAAUAAAUGAUCCAAGGUAUUUUCUGGUUCUAUCAUUCUAAGAUGCUAUAAAUUGAUAAAGAGAAAGUAAAAUUGGGUUGAGAAUAAGGUGAUGGGGGGUGCAGAGAGAAACGAAUACUUACCACCAUCAAGCAAAAGCCAUUACUGGUGGCACAGCAAGAUGAGGGCCAGUGACUUGUGGAACAUAUGAGAGACUAUCCUUCAUGAGCAUCUGUUUUCUUCCAAGCACUUCAUAUGAGCUUCCUCAUUUUGUUCCUGACAAACUCCUACCAGUAAGCUGUUAUGAGUUUCAUCCUUUUUUUUCAUCUUCUUUUAGACAAAGAAAAUGGCCCAGAAAGAUAAAUUCUCUUGCUUCAGGUGACAUAGCUCAAACAUGGCAGCACUAGGAUUCUAACCCUACUUGGGCUCCAGAGUCUCAACUCCUUUCACAGCAGCUAUACUGCCUUUGCACAGGGUUACAGCAAGGACCUAGGCAAUACUCCUGGACAAGGACAAGUUUCUUCUCACACAGAUGAUCACCCAGAAGGAUGCUCACAGCUUCAAGUGAGACUGAUGGGAACGUCUUUAAAAAGCCAAGAACCAGAAUAUCACCCCAAGACAUCUGGUCCUCUCAUCCUUUAGUGAAGUGCAGAUGGAGACUCCUAUGUGGUCUUGUAAAGAAUGAUGGAGAACCACUAGUCAAACGAAAGAAUAAUGGGAAAGCAGCUGAACAAUAGCUUCAGAACUUUUUGAUUAUUUGUUAUAACUAAUACAUGAAAAAAAUUAAGGUAAGUCAGAAACCAAUACUUUCUGCACUAUUCUAAAGUUAUACCUUUAGAACUAACUAACAACUUGGAUAAAUAAACAUUUAUUAAACCUUUAUUAUGAGCA